GAAAAUUACGAGCAUAAGCUUAAAACUCAAAGGACUUGGCGGCGCUUUAGAUCCCCCUAGAGGAGCCUGUCCUGUAAUCGAUAACCCCCGUUAAACCUUACCUUUUUUCGCACCCAGCCUAUAUACCGCCGUCGUCAGCUCACCCUUCAAAGGACUUAUAAGUAAGCAAGACUGGUUAAGCCCAAAACGUCAGGUCAAGGUGUAGCAUAUAAAAAGUGAAGAGAUGGGCUACAUUUCCUAAUUAGGGCCCCGAAAAAUAUUUUGAAACAAACAUAUUGAAGAAGGAUUUAGCAGUAAGUAAAAAAUAGAGAGUUUUACUGAAACUGGCUCUGAAGCGCGCACACACCGCCCGUCGUUCUCCCCGAACAUGCUUUCCUAAUUUACAUUAAAACCUAGCACUAAUAAAGGGGAGACAAGUCGUAACAUGGUAAGUGUACUGGAAAGUGCACUUGGAUAAA
rnacentral:rRNA from 1 species